UACGUAGGCAGCGAGCGUUGUUCGGAGUUACUGGGCGUAAAGAGUGCGUAGGCGGUUUUCUAAGUUUGGUGUGAAAUCUCCCGGCUCAACUGGGAGGGUGCGCCGAAGACUGGAAGGCUUGAGUAUGGGAGAGGUAAGCGGAAUUCCUGGUGUAGCGGUGAAAUGCGUAGAUAUCAGGAGGAACACCUGUGGUGUAGACAGCUUACUGGACCACUUCUGACGCUGAGACACGAAAGCGUGGGUAGCAAACAGG
rnacentral:rRNA from 1 species